ACUGCACCAAAGUUUGAUAGGAGUGAUUCUGGAGCUCAUCCGGAUGAGGCUGUAUCAUGGGGGAAAAUACGGGGUUCUGCUAAAACUGAGGUACAUUGCAAUGCAACAAUUGCUUUCCCUUUGCUGGUUGCUGAAACAUUUGCCAAGAAAGCUGUCGAGACCAUGACUUAAUAUAUAGUUUCAUUGUGAAGAUUGAUUUAUGAUAUAGAGUUUCAAGUAGUCGUGAUGAAGCUGAUAACUGCUGGAUGGGGCUCAGCAGACAUGAUAAUUACCACAUUGUAUUCAAGGGUUUGCAAGAUCCUAUGUAGGAUUAAGAAUACAGAAAUUCACAUUUUUCCCCUUGUGUUAGAUUUUUGGUCUAUCGUAGGGGUUGAGAUGACAUACUAGGGGAAUUUACUUGUUAUUUCUGAUCAUUUUAUUCAAAUUCAAGUUCGAACUCCUAUAUGAAUGC